rnacentral:rRNA from 1 species
GAUGAACGCUGGCGGCGUGCCUAAUACAUGCAAGUCGAGCGAACAGACGAGGAGCUUGCUCCUCUGACGUUAGCGGCGGACGGGUGAGUAACACGUGGAUAACCUACCUAUAAGACUGGGAUAACUUCGGGAAACCGGAGCUAAUACCGGAUAAUAUAUUGAACCGCAUGGUUCAAUAGUGAAAGACGGUUUUGCUGUCACUUAUAGAUGGAUCCGCGCCGCAUUAGCUAGUUGGUAAGGUAACGGCUUACCAAGGCAACGAUGCGUAGCCGACCUGAGAGGGGGAUAGGACACACGGGAACUGAGACACGGUCCAGAAUCCUACGGGAGGCCGCAGGAGGGAAGCUUCCGCAAUGGGCGAAAGCCUGACGGAGCAACGCCGCGUGAGUGAUGAAGGUCUUCGGAUCGUAAAACUCGGUUAUUAGGGAAGAACAUAUGUGUAAGUAACUGUGCACAUCUUGACGGUACCUAAUCAGAAAGCCACGGCUAACUACGUG